GAAAUGCGGUAAUUAAUGUGAAUUGCAGAAUUCAGUGAAUCAUCGAGUCUUUGAACGCACAUUGCGCCCCCUGGUAUUCCGGGGGGCAUGCCUGUCCGAGCGUCAUUGCUGCCCUCAAGCACGGCUUGUGUGUUGGGCUUCCGUCCCUGGCAAUGGGGACGGGCCCAAAAGGCAGUGGCGGCACCAUGUCUGGUCCUCGAGCGUAUGGGGCUUUGUCACCCGCUCCCGUAGGUCCAGCUGGCAGCUAGCCUCGCAACCAAUCUUUUUAACCAGGUUGACCUCGGAUCAGGUAGGGAUACCCGCUGAACUUAAGC
rnacentral:misc_RNA from 1 species